UACAGAGGGGGCAAGCGUUGUUCGGAAUUACUGGGCGUAAAGCGCGCGCAGGCGGCCCUUUAAGUCUACCCGUGAAAUGCCGGAGCUCAACUCCGUGCACGCCGGGGGAUACUGGGGGGCUGGAGACAUGUAGAGGCAAGCGGAAUUCCGGGUGUAGCGGUGGAAUGCGUAGAGAUCCGGAAGAACACCUGAGGCGAAGGCGGCUUGCUGGGCAUGAUCUGACGCUGAGGCGCGAAAGCGUGGGGAGCAAACAGG
rnacentral:rRNA from 1 species